rnacentral:rRNA from 1 species
GGGGAAUAUUGGGCAAUGGGGGAAACCCUGACCCCGCAACGCCGCGUGCGGGAUGAAGGCCUUCGGGUUGUAAACCGCUUUCAGCAGGGACGAAGGGUUUCUGACGGUACCUGCAGAAGAAGCACCGGCUAACUACGUGCCAGCAGCCGCGGUGAUACGUAGGGUGCGAGCGUUGUCCGGAAUUAUUGGGCGUAAAGAGCUUGUAGGCGGUCCGUCACGUCGGAAGUGAAAACUCAGGGCUUAACCCUGAGCCUGCUUUCGAUACGGGCAGACUUGAGGGAUGUAGGGGAGAACGGAAUUCCUGGUGGAGCGGUGGAAUGCGCAGAUAUCAGGAGGAACACCAGUGGCGAAGGCGGCUUGCUGGACAAAUACUGACGCUGAGGUGCGAAAGCGUGGGGAGCAAACA